GACGUAGGGCGCGAGCGUUGUCCGGAUUUAUUGGGCGUAAAGAGCUCGUAGGCGGUGUGUCGCGUCGGCCGUGAAAACCUGCAGCUUAACUGUGGGCUUGCGGUCGAUACGGGCAUCACUGGAGUUCGGCAGGGGAGGACUGGAAUUCCUGGUGUAGCGGUGAAAUGCGCAGAUAUCAGGAGGAACACCGGUGGCGAAGGCGGGUCUCUGGGCCGAUACUGACGCUGAGGAGCGAAAGCGUGGGGAGCGAACAGG
rnacentral:rRNA from 1 species